GAAUUUUGGGCAAUGGCCGAAAGGCUGACCCAGCGACGCCGCGUGUGGGAGGAAGCCCUUCGGGGUGUAAACCACUGUCGGGAGGGACGAACGAGGGAAGUGGGAAUACUGCUUCUCUGUGACGGUACCUUCAAAGGAAGCGCCGGCUAACUCUGUGCCAGCAGCCGCGGUAAGACAGAGGGCGCAAGCGUUGUUCGGAAUUACUGGGCGUAAAGCGGGCGUAGGCGGAUCUGUUUGUCCGUAAGUGAAAUCCCGCCGCUCAACGGCGGGGCUGCUUGGGAAACGGCAGGUCUGGGGACCGGUAGAGGUCGGUAGAAUUCCCGGUGUAGCGGUGGAAUGCGUAGAGAUCGGGAAGAAUACCCGUGGCGAAGGCGGCCGACUGGGCCGGAUCCGACGCUGAUGCGCGAAAGCGUGGGGAGCAAACAGG
rnacentral:rRNA from 1 species